AGAGAGAGACAUGCGCGCAUAUCAAUAAGCGGAGGAAAAGAAACUAACUAGGAUUCCCUCAGUAACGGCGAGUGAAGCGGGAAGAGCUCAAAUUUGAAAUCUUCAAGGUUCUACCUUGACGAAUUGUAGUUUAAAGAAGUGUUUUCUGUUGGAGUUUUGGUAAAAGUUCUUUGGAAUAGGACAUCAUAGAGGGUGAGAAUCCCGUAUUUGACCAUUAUUUCCAGCUUUGUGAUACACUUUCAAAGAGUCGGAUUGUUUGGGAAUGCAGUCCAAAAUGGGUGGUAAAUUUCAUCUAAAGCUAAAUAUUGGCGAGAGACCGAUAGCGAACAAGUACCGUGAGGGAAAGAUGAAAAGAACUUUGAAAAGAGAGUUAAACAGUACGUGAAAUUGUCAAAAGGGAAGCGUUUGACACCAGUGUUGUCUUCUCGAAAAUCAAUUAAAAAAGGCAGGAUUUUGUGUUGUAUUGACUUUAUCAGCUUUCUGCACUCUUUUCUUGUCUUUUUUAAUGCACUUUUCGUUUAACAAGUCAACAUCAAUUUCUUUUGUUGUAAAAGGGUCAUUGGAAGGUGGCUUUCUUUUCGGAGAAAGUGUUUAUAGCCUUUGGCCUCUGCAAUCGGAGAGAUUGAGGUCUGCAGCGUAGAUCCUUCGGGGUUAGAUACAUUUGUGCUAAGUUAUAGCCUUUCAUAGACAACUUGUUGACUAUGAUCAGUCAUGUAGCUUACUCGCUUAUGCUAUUUUACCUACGCUUAGGAUGUUGAUGUGAUACUGCGAGCA
rnacentral:rRNA from 1 species